rnacentral:lncRNA from 1 species
GCAGGCUCCAGGCUCUGAGCGGUCAGCACAGAGCCCGACGCGGGGCUUGAACUCACGGACCGCGAGAUCAUGACCUGAGCCGAAGUCGGCCACUUAACCGACUGAGCCACCCAGGUGCCCUGAGUUGGUUUACUUUUCAUCACACGCCCCAUAAUUCUAGAAACUUAAAGGGACAAGUGUCUUGCCUUAUCACUGAUGCUCCUGUCUUACCGUCUGGGUGGAAGGCGGGAGGUUCACUGCUGCACCUGAUUGCUGGGUCUGACUUAGAGAAGCUUGUUCCCACGAUGGCACCGGGGACAGUGGGAGAGCACAGGUGUCGGAGCCAGGCAACCGAAGCUCAUCAUCCCAGCUGACCCCCCCACUACGUGGGCUCCACUGUAAAUCACUUCACUGAGCCAGUUUCCUCAUCUGCAGCACAGAGGCCAACAUCCUUACAGACUGUAGAAUCGCUAAAUAAAAAAGAACACACAUCCAGCAUCCUGAUGCGUGCGAAGUUAGUACUUUUCGUGAGAACCGUCAGUUGGAAGAGGUUAUCCACGACGAAGAGACGAUCAUCAGGAUCUAUGCGCUGAUUAUUUAAUUCACGUGUUAAACCCGACUCAACAGACGGCUAUGAAACGAAACUUAAAACGAUCCUGGCCUCGCUGCAGACACCGUCUCACCCUUGUCGCCGUGUUUCGGGGGCCAGCACAGCACCUGACACGCAGUACAUCGUCCGUGGACCCCACUGCGCUGCUUGGAAUCGCAUCCCUCGGCAUUGCUCGACCUCAGGGCUGCCGGCACUUUGACGGAGAUGUCCAGCUCACAACCAGAGCCAUAUCUGAUCCUCGUUUUCCCUUGAAAGCAUCAGGAGAUGCUUAGGCCUGUGGCAGGAAUCAGCGUCUACUCUGAUUUCAUUUCAGCGACUUAGUCUCCAGGGGGUCUUUCUGGAUUCACUCCGCUCUUCAGACUCAGGCUGACUCAGGUCCGUCCCUUCAGAGGUGCGCGCUGAGAACCCCUCCUGAAGCAGAUUGAAUAACCAAUCACCCGGAUGCUCAAAUCCACCAGCGCCUUGAGUGUGGGCUCCUUCCUGAGGGGCCUUCUCGCUCUUUCUCCAACUCAGCAACACGCUCUACAAGGCCCAGCUGGAAUUCGUCAGUGAACUGCUGAGCGGUGUGAGCCUUCUCUGACAGCUUCGAUUAUCCGCUCGAGGAAUAAAAACAAAAGUCAGGAAGACGCA